rnacentral:rRNA from 1 species
UGAUAUAUGAGUUAGUGGCGGACGGGUGAGUAACGCGUGGAGAACCUGCCGUAUACUGGGGGAUAACACUUAGAAAUAGGUGCUAAUACCGCAUAAGCGCACAGCUUCGCAUGAAGCAGUGUGAAAAACUCCGGUGGUAUACGAUGGAUCCGCGUCUGAUUAGCUGGUUGGCGGGGUAACAGCCCACCAAGGCGACGAUCAGUAGCCGGCCUGAGAGGGUGAACGGCCACAUUGGGACUGAGACACGGCCCAAACUCCUACGGGAGGCAGCAGUGGGGAAUAUUGCACAAUGGGGGAAACCCUGAUGCAGCGACGCCGCGUGAGUGAAGAAGUAUUUCGGUAUGUAAAGCUCUAUCAGCAGGGAAGAAAUACUGACCUUACGGUCAGCAGACGGUACCUGACUAAGAAGCCCCGGCUAACUACGUGCCAGCAGCCGCGGUAAUACGUAGGGGGCAAGCGUUAUCCGGAUUUACUGGGUGUAAAGGGAGCGUAGACGGCAGCGCAAGUCUGAAGUGAAAUCCCAUGGCUUAACCAUGGAACUGCUUUGGAAACUGUGCAGCUGGAGUGCAGGAGAGGUAAGCGGAAUUCCUAGUGUAGCGGUGAAAUGCGUAGAUAUUAGGAGGAACACCAGUGGCGAAGGCGGCUUGCUGGACUGUAACUGACGUUGAGGCUCGAAAGCGUGGGGAGCAAACAGGAUUAGAUACCCUGGUAGUCCACGCCGUAAACGAUGAUUACUAGGUGUUGGGGGACCAAGGUCCUUCGGUGCCGGCGCAAACGCAU